rnacentral:hammerhead_ribozyme from 1 species
AUUCGGCUGACGAGUCGCGAAUGGGACGAAACGAGCGUCCUGAAU